UUGUUUUAUGAAAGGAGAGGUUGGCACUCCCCUUGACAAAGAUGGAGGAGGUUCUCGGGUCUGAAAAUAUGCAUAUGGUUAAGGCACUGCCACCUGCUUCAUGAAGUCUGACCAUCAUUAAAA
rnacentral:ncRNA from 1 species